AAGUGGUGAGGAUACCUCAUUCAGUAUGGAAUCUCCCCAAGUUCCAGGAACCGGGAAGGAGGCUUCUUGGCAUCAGGACCCAACCAGGCAUCUCUGGUUCAUGGAGAUCCCGCUGAACCCCGGCGUCAAGGAAUUCUAGAGGAAUUGCGAUCCUGAGGUUGUGGCAGGAAUCUCUGGGCUGGAGCUCCUUCCAUAAGCCCUUGAUUCUGGAUCACUGCCUCACUGAAAUCAUUUCAUCCAAAGAGAGCUCAGUGAUUUCAAAACUGAAUGCUACCUGAUUGGUUCCUGAUUUUGUCAUAGGGAAAAGAUGCAGUAGUGCAGCAGAAGGGACUGGAGAUGAAUGUGGGAUCUGGGUGGAAAUUCCCUCUACUUUACUUCUCCAGUAAGACCCAACAAGAAGAAAAAUGGGCAACCCUCAAGAACAGAGGCUGUGGGUAAUUUGCAUGGUGUGGUGUACUGAGGCCCUUUCUCCACAGGAUUCUUCCCUCCACAGGCUCCCGACAUUCUGGUGCUGCCUGUCUUUGAACUGCACGGAUCCACCCAACUCAAGCUACGUGAUGCCUUUCCUGAUCCGCCUUGACAGAAGUGAUUUUACCUAUGUUUUAAAGGGUCUUAUUUCUUAAGAUCCUCUAAUGUGGGCACUGGCUGCAUCCUGAUGCUCACGGAAAGAAGGCAGCCCCAGUGGAUACCUUGACUCAACCAGCAAAGCAAGAUACACCGAGCCUACUUAAUACCACUGGAAUUGGCUGCUUCUGGAUCGUGCCAAGGGGAAGAUUUCAAUCUGUGAAAAUGAUCUUCAGUGCUUGACGCAGAGACGGAUGGACAACCACUGGAGGUUCUUGAGCAGUGGGGAAACAUGGAAUGAAUAGAUUUACAGGAAAACGAACCAGGCA